GCGCUCGCUUCGGCAACACAUACACCAAAAUUGGAACGAUACAGAGAAGAUUAGCAUGGCCCCUGCGCAAGGGGGAAAAAAUAUUUCUCCUGACUUGGAAGACCAGUUAUU